rnacentral:rRNA from 1 species
GUUAACGGCCACGCCACGUUGAAAGCACCAGUUCCUGUUCGAUCACUGAAGUUAAGCAACGUUGGGCACAGUCGGAACUCGGUUGAGUUCCCGCCGUGUACUGUUGUCU